GACGAACGCUGGCGGCGUGCCUAACACAUGCAAGUCGAACGGACAGGCCCUGCUCUUGUUGGUUUCUCGUUUGCCGAACGGGUGAGUGACACGUGUGUAACCUGUCCUUGACUUUGGGAUAACUUCACGGAACUCGGGCGCUUAUCCCAUAUGAUCUCCUGCUGCAUAUUGUUCAAUGGAAAGUUUCGGCGGUUUGGGAUGUACUCGCUGCUUAUCAGCUGGUUUGUGUGGUAGUUGCUUACCAAGGCUUCGACGGGUAGCCGGCCUGAGAGGGGGAACGGGCACAAUGGGACUGAGAGACGGACCAGAAUGGUACGGGAGGCAGCAGUGGGGAGUAUUGCAGAAUGGGCGGAAGCCUGAGGCAGAAACGCCGGGUGCGGGAUGACGGCCUUCGGGGUGUAAACAGAUUUGGAAGGUGACGAAGAGUGAGUGACGGUAAUGGGUAAAGAAGCAACGGCUAACUACGUG
rnacentral:rRNA from 1 species